GACGAACGCUGGCGGCGUGCUUAACACAUGCCAGUCGAACGAAGAGCGAUGGAAGCUUGCUUCUAUCAAUCUUAGUGGCGAACGGGUGAGUAACGCGUAAUCAACCUGCCCUUCAGAGGGGGACAACAGUUGGAAACGACUGCUAAUACCGCAUACGAUCUAAUCUCGGCAUCGAGGAUGGAUGAAAGGUGGCCUCUACAUGUAAGCUAUCACUGAAGGAGGGGAUUGCGUCUGAUUAGCUAGUUGGAGGGGUAACGGCCCACCAAGGCGAUGAUCAGUAGCCGGUCUGAGAGGAUGAACGGCCACAUUGGGACUGAGACACGGCCCAGACUCCUACGGGAGGCAGCAGUGGGGAAUCUUCCGCAAUGGACGAAAGUCUGACGGAGCAACGCCGCGUGAGUGAUGACGGCCUUCGGGUUGUAAAGCUCUGUUAAUCGGGACGAAAGGCCUUCUUGCGAAUAGUGAGAAGGAUUGACGGUACCGGAAUAGAAAGCCACGGCUAACUACGUG
rnacentral:rRNA from 1 species